AUUGAACGCUGGCGGCAUGCUUUACACGUGCAAGUCGAACGGUAACAGGGACUUCGGUCUGCUGACGAGUGGCGAACGGGUGAGUAACAUAUCGGAACGUGCCCAGUAAUGGGGGAUAGCUCGGCGAAAGCCGGAUUAAUACCGCAUACGCCCUGAGGGGGAAAGUGGGGGAUCUUCGGACCUCACGUUAUUGGAGCGGCCGAUAUCGGAUUAGCUAGUUGGUGGGGUAAAGGCCUACCAAGGCGACGAUCCGUAGCUGGUCUGAGAGGAUGAUCAGCCACACUGGGACUGAGACACGGCCCAGACUCCUACGGGAGGCAGCAGUGGGGAAUUUUGGACAAUGGGCGAAAGCCUGAUCCAGCCAUGCCGCGUGAGUGAAGAA
rnacentral:rRNA from 1 species